rnacentral:rRNA from 1 species
GACGAACGCUGGCGGCGUGCUUAACACAUGCAAGUCGAACGAAGUGGCGAACGGGUGAGUAACGCGUAAUCAACCUGCCCUUCAGAGGGGGACAACAGUUGGAAACGACUGCUAAUCCCGCAUACCAGAUUGGAUUAGCUAGUCGGUGGGGUAACGGCUCCCCUAGGCGACGAUCCCUAGCUGGUCUGAGAGGAUGACCAGCGAAACUGGAACUGAGACACGGCCCAGACUCCUACGGGAGGCAGCAGUGGGGAAUCUUCCGCAAUGGACGAAAGUCUGACGGAGCAACGCCGCGGGAUUGAUGACGGCCUUCGGGUUGUAAAGCUCUGGUAAUCGGGACGCGUUACUCGCAGAAGAAGCACCGGCUAACUCCGUGCCAGCAGCCGCGGUAAUAC